rnacentral:misc_RNA from 1 species
AAUCAGGAUUUUUUUUUUAAUAGUUCUGAAACAAAAUUUUGAUGACUAUUUAUUAUUUGAGAGGGCGCUGAGCACGCAUCCUUGUAAGAUAAUGUGAAGAUUUAUGCUUUCUGAUGCUACUUCUUAUCAGUUUGAUUUUAGGUGAUAUUGUUGCUGCGGGGAUGACCCCCUGAGCACUUAAUGGGAAGAUUUUAUUGCUGCUACUGAUCUUUGAAGCGGAAAGCAUCUAUUGAGAUACAACUGGAUAGAGUAGCUGACUGUUUUGGCAGAGAACAAGUGUGUGGCAGACACUUUGGAUCAUAAUACUUGAGGGUGAAUGCAUUAAGUGCAAUGUGUGAAAGAGAGGCAGAGGAUUGAUUAUAACUUGCAUAAUGUGGAAAACUGGGUGGACCAUACUGCUGCAGGAUUAGAAAAACUGCUUACAAAUUAACCUAUUAAUGAAAGUUGCUUUGAUGAUCACAAGGAGAACAAUUUGACGUAUCAUUCUCUCUUACUGUUUUAAAGCAGAGUCUACAAUUAAUAAGAGGCUGUUUGUGGCUUUAUUUUUCAAGUGAUUGUUAGUGGGGUUUCCACAUCCCACCUGCUGCUUGAUGGCUGGCUUUGCUCGUGUCUUUUCAAGCACGUGGCCUUUUACUUUAAAUCUUCUCAGGGAUAUGAUAUUGUGAUUAGCAUUCCAUCACUAGUAACUGAUACAUAUUUAUGCCUAUCAAUGAUGGAGCCUUG